GCGUGCCGCUGCACCAGGUGGAUCUGCCCGGGGCUCCGGUGCAGCACCUUCCAGUAGCGCAGGCAGUCCAGGGUCUGCACCACCUGUGAGGAGAGAUAGUCAUUUCAUUGUAAAACUCGAAAAGAUCAGAAUUGGUGAAGCUCCUCUCAAGAACACUUGCAGACACUUGUAACUGUGAAUCAUGAGGUGUUGAACAGAAACAUAAGACCGAAAACUGCCUGUACAUCCUUGUGAGCAAGAAAUCGUCCCAUAUAAUGGAUAUGAGACCCAUCCCUGGGACCGUGCCUUCCAGAUUACCUGAAGACCAUCAAGUAUUUGUAUCUGUCUACCUAUACCUCUGUCUAGUCAUCUACCUAUCUCCAUCUACCUCUUAUACACAUCCCAUGAUCCCGACGGAAACAAAGUUGUUUGUAAUAAAGACAGAGUGAAGUUUCCAAGCCAAAGAUAGAUCCUGCACUCCUGAGAUUUUUCCUGUUCAGGGGCAGAGCAGAGUGUCCUGGGAGAGAGGAAGACUUAGUGGACCAGCUUGAAUGGAACCUGCUCUCAGAGCCCUGGUCCUGAGACCCCAGAAGUGACAAAGUACAAUAGAAGCUGGUGCUGAGGCCAUUACCCUAGAGGUUGUUCCUUCCCAAGCCCAGGCUUCUGGCUAGAGUAUGGCAGGAAUCACACCCCACUGGAAGGAAGCACAGAGGAUGCUCUGCCUUUCAGGUGUAGAGGAAGGGCCCAGGGGCACAGGCUAGGAGUGGGAAAGGGUUGGGGGGCACUUGGCCUGAGCCAGGUUUUCCCAGGCUGGGGUUCAGCGCGUGCAUUUCCUUGCUCUGUACCUGGUAGGAAUCCUUGUCACCUCCAAAGCUUGGGCCGCCUUUGCUGCAGUCACCCAUGAUGUGGGUUUGUUCAGUACCUUGAGAAUUUUCGGCAGAUGGGAAGCCCUGAGGGGUGUAUCUCAGUGAGUCUGUGAGUUCCCCUGGGCUGUCCCCUCCUCUCCCUGCCUGCCAGUGCUGGGUUUCUCCUUUUCUUUUCAAGUAGAUUCCCGGUCACCCCUCCCCUCUCUCCUUCCUUCCUUUUCUUUUAAAAUAGUAUUUACUGACUCGAGGGGGAGGGGCUUCUGCGCUGCUGGUAAUGGUCUGUUUUUUGAGGAGGUGCUGGCUAUAUGGUAUGCCCCGUUUGUGAACAGUCGCCAUGCUGUCCAUUCAAUAGUCCCUUUUCUGUGUGUGUGUGUGUUGUAUGCCAAUGAAAGUUCAAAAAGUAAUAUUUACCUAAAAUUAUUUUUACUUGAAAAUGUCUCAAAUUUAAGCAACUUCCCCUAUUUUCUUAAAUGUUUUUUUGUUUGUUUGUUUCUUCCCCCCACCCCGUAUUCUCAUAGACUCUUAUCUUCAGCUGAAUCUUGAUAUUUCAGUUGGAGGCCAGUGCUGAACCGUCAUGUCUGCCCCUCACAAGCAGUGACCUCUGCCCAAAUGCUCCAUCUUUGUAUAGGAGGGCCAUCAGGCUGGGCAGAAUGCCAUAAAGGAAGCAUACUUUCAUGUGGACUAAUUUGGAAGAAAAGGGGUCUCUGAUCCAAGCUGCUGUGUGGAAUUCUACUUAAAUCUUCAUUGACUUGUGCAUUCAUUACCAUUUAUUCAUGAGUUCAUCUAACAUUUAUUAUCGAAUACCAUCUGGGUACUGGACGUGGAUCCUUGUCCGCAAGGUGCUUGCAGCCUAUCAAGCAGAGAAGAUGUCUGCUUGUGCCCAUCACAGCAGGGACAUGACUUGGACCCUCAGUCACACAGGGAAAGAAUGGGAGUUCAGAGCGCGAGGCAGUCUUUUCCAACCGAGCCUUCCAGAAGGAUGGCCUCAAUCGGGGUGGCAGGUAGAACAGGUAGGGCUCACAGGCAAAGAUGGGGGAAAGAGCAGUCUAGCAGAAGGAAUAAUAUAUAGCAGUUAAAGCCCAGAAGAGUGAAAUUUCCUUAAGUAGUCCGGAAAGGGAGAAGAGGCCGAGAGAGGGUGGGAGGUGACCAAGUCAUGGUAUUCCUGCCGGGACACUGGCAAGAAGCAUUCUGGAGGAGUGCUUGAGCCUCU